rnacentral:rRNA from 1 species
AUUGAACGCUGGCGGCAGGCCUAACACAUGCAAGUCGAGCGGAUGAGGGAAGCUUGCUUCCUGAUUUAGCGGCGGACGGGUGAGUAAUGCCUAGGAAUCUGCCUAUUAGUGGGGGAUAACGUUCCGAAAGGAACGCUAAUACCGCAUACGUCCUACGGGAGAAAGUGGGGGAUCUUCGGACCUCACGCUAAUAGAUGAGCCUAGGUCGGAUUAGCUAGUUGGUGAGGUAACGGCUCACCAAGGCGACGAUCCGUAGCUGGUCUGAGAGGAUGAGCAGCCACACUGGAACUGGGACACGGUCCAGACUCCUACGGGAGGCAGCAGUGGGGAAUAUUGGACAAUGGGCGAAAGCCUGAUCCAGCCAUGCCGCGUGUGUGAAGAAGGUCUUCGGAUUGUAAAGCACUUUAAGUUGGGAGGAAGGGCUGUAAGCUAAUAUCUUGCAGCUUUGACGUUACCAACAGAAUAAGCACCGGCUAACUCUGUGCCAGCCGCCGCAGUAACAC